rnacentral:rRNA from 1 species
CUGGCUCAGAUUGAACGCUGGCGGCAGGCUUAACACAUGCAAGUCGAGCGGUAACAGGAGAAGCUUGCUUCUCGCUGACGAGCGGCGGACGGGUGAGUAAUACUUAGGAAUCUACCUAGUAGUGGGGGAUAGCUCGGGGAAACUCGAAUUAAUACCGCAUACGACCUACGGGAGAAAGGGGGCAACUUGUUGCUCUCGCUAUUAGAUGAGCCUAAGUCGGAUUAGCUAGAUGGUGGGGUAAAGGCCUACCAUGGCGACGAUCUGUAGCUGGUCUGAGAGGAUGAUCAGCCACACCGGGACUGAGACACGGCCCGGACUCCUACGGGAGGCAGCAGUGGGGAAUAUUGGACAAUGGGGGCAACCCUGAUCCAGCCAUGCCGCGUGUGUGAAGAAGGCCUUUUGGUUGUAAAGCACUUUAAGCAGUGAAGAAGACUCCAUGGUUAAUACCCAUGGACGAUGACAUUAGCUGCAGAAUAAGCACCGGCUAACUCUGUGCCAGCCGCCGCGGU